GACGAACGCUGGCGGCGUGCUUAACACAUGCAAGUCGAACGGAAAGGCCCUGCUUGCAGGGUACUCGAGUGGCGAACGGGUGAGUAACACGUGGGUGAUCUGCCCUGCACUUCGGGAUAAGCCUGGGAAACUGGGUCUAAUACCGGAGAGGAGCCAUUUUUAGUGUGAUGGUUGGAAAGUUUUUUCGGUGUAGGAUGAGCUCGCGGCCUAUCAGCUUGUUGGGGGGGUAAUGGCCUACCAAGGCGGCGACGGGUAGCCGGCCUGGGAGGGUGGAGGGCCAAAUUGGGACUGGGAAACGGCCCGGACCCCUACGGGAGGAAGCAGGGGGGAAAAUUGAACAAUGGGCCAAAGCCGGAUGCAGCGACGCCGCGUGGGGGAUGACGGCCUUCGGGUUGUAAACUCCUUUCGCUAGGGACGAAGCUUUUUGUGACGGUACCUAGAUAAGAAGCACCGGCUAACUACGUG
rnacentral:rRNA from 1 species